AGCAGCCGCGAUAAUUCCAGCUCCAAUAGCGUAUAUUAAAGUUGUUGCAGUUAAAAAGCUCGUAGUUGAAUUUCGGGGUCAGUGGGUCGGUCGUGCCACUGGUAUGUACUGGCCCUACUGAUUCCUCCUUCUUGAAGAACUGUAAUGCCAUUAAUUUGGUGUUGCAGGGAAACAGGACUGUUACUUUGAAAAAAUUAGAGUGUUUAAAGCAGGCAAUCGCUUGAAUACAUUAGCAUGGAAUAAUGAAAUAGGACGCUCGAUCCUAUUUUGUUGGUUUCUAGGAUUGACGUAAUGAUUAAUAGGGAUAGUUGGGGGCAUUAGUAUUCAAUUGUCAGAGGUGAAAUUCUUGGAUUUAUUGAAGACUAACUACUGCGAAAGCAUUUGCCAAGGAUGUUUUCAUUAAUCAAGAACGAAAGUUAGGGGAUCGAAGACGAUCAGAUACCGUCGUAGUCUUAACCAUAAACUAUGCCGACUAGGGAUCGGAUGAUGUUAAUUUUUAAUGACUCAUUCGGUGCCUUAA
rnacentral:rRNA from 1 species